UGGGAUGUAGCCAAGCGGUAAGGCAACAGACUUUGACUCUGUCAUCUCGUGGGUUCGAAUCCCGCCAUCCCAACCA
rnacentral:tRNA from 1 species